CCUACGGGAGGCAGCAGUGAGGAAUAUUGGUCAAUGGGCGCGAGCCUGAACCAGCCAAGUAGCGUGAAGGAUGACUGCCCUACGGGUUGUAAACUUCUUUUAUAAAGGAAUAAAGUGAGGCACGUGUGCCCUUUUGUAUGUACUUUAUGAAUAAGGAUCGGCUAACUCCGUGCCAGCAGCCGCGGUAAUACGGAGGAUCCGAGCGUUAUCCGGAUUUAUUGGGUUUAAAGGGAGCGUAGAUGGGUUAUUAAGUCAGUUGUGAAAGUUUGCGGCUCAACCGUAGAAUUGCAGUUGAUACUGGCAGCCUUGAGUACAAUUGAGGUAGGCGGAAUUCGUGGUGUAGCGGUGAAAUGCUUAGAUAUUGCGCAGAACUCCGAUUGCGAAGGCAGCAUACCGGCGGCGAUCUGACGCUGAGGCACGAAAGCGUGGGUAUCGAACAGGAUUAGAUACCCGAGUAGUC
rnacentral:rRNA from 1 species